CGAUAAGCUUUGAACGGGAGUAUUAGCGAAAUUUACCUUUUAAGAGAACCUCCGGAUGGUGCGAGGAGGCAAAGGGAAAGCGUGAACUCGCCCGGGAGCUCGGCCGAAAAAACGGCCGCGGGCAGGACCGUUAUAUCCUUUUUGAGAGGGGCAGCCUUGCCCAACUAGAGUGGUACCGCGGACAUGUUCCGUCUCUUGA
rnacentral:ncRNA from 1 species